GGGGGUAUAGCUCAGGGGCAAAGCAGUUGACUGCAGAUCAAGAGGUUCCCUAGUUUAAUUCUGGGCACCCUGU
rnacentral:tRNA from 1 species